ensembl:lncRNA
CCCCUUCCAACUCCCCGCCUGGUCCCUGGCUAGCUUUGAAGCUGUUGCCUUGCUGCUGUGUAACUGGGAAGCAGUGGCUCCUGCAGACCUGCACCUGUAUGCCCUAGAGACAAAGCAAGAGCGCUUCCUGUACAUCUUGUAUUCAAAGCAGGAGCCCAGCAGAGGGUGGGGGCCCUGGGUGUCCCUGUGGCCUCCCUCACCCAUGGCUCUGUAGCCAGCAGCAGUGGCAUCAUCUUCUAAGGAGUGGAUCUAGGUGUGAUCCUCCUAAGGUCCCAGGGCCCCAGGUGAGCUCUGCCACCAGUAGCCACCUGACCUUGAGUGAAAGAACGCACCAUUGGGCUUCAGGGUGCCUGUCUAUAAAAGAGAGGAGUGGGGAACAGGAGCAGAGUGACAGCUUAAGCAGGCUAAGGGGAAGCUGCAGGUCAGAAGAGCAAAGGGUGAUUUGGAGGUGCUGAGGAUGACACGCCAGGCCAGGCAGAUCACUGGGCUGGGGCAUAGGAGGGUCUGGGGCGGCUCAGCUGGCGCCCAAACUGUUUCCCCAAAGCUGCUCCAGAGAAUCCCAAAGCAAAUCAACUUCCUGCCACUCAGCAGAAUGCCAGUUCAUGGUCCUGCGAUCCUAGACACCUGCACCCCUAUCUUCUGCUGCGCAUGUCCAUGCACACGCAGGUUCAAGACGCGCACUUCACUUUUGCAGUCCCCCGCCUCCUAAGUGGACAACCUCGACCCGCGAAACCGCGGCCCAGAGCAGUGAGUAGUCUGCAGGUCCCAGGGUUAUGGGUACCCCAAACUCUGGGAAGUCGCCCAAAGUGGGGCAGGGAUUCGCGGCCUGGUUUCCCCCGCUUGUUCAGGACCUCUCAGGUGCAGAGCGACGCCCCUGAGAGCCGAGUCUAUCCCGGCCCAUCGCAGCCAGACUGGCCCUCGCCUUGCAUCGUCCUGGGAGAAGGCGGCCAGACCCAACUGGAAGAAGUGGUCCGGCCAGUCCCGGCCCAAGACCGCGGCCAGGAGGGGGUCGGGCCGCCCACCCAAGCCCAUUGGUCCGACCCUGCGCGGUGUAAUUGGGGCGGGGGGGAGGCGACCGGCGGGCGGCGGCUCCAGAGAAACUGCGCGCCUGUCAGCCACAAUUUGUGUAAGAGGACGGGACAGGCCAGGCCACUGCGGGCUGGGGUCACCGAGGCCGCGGCCCACACCCCGGCCAGACUCCGGACCGCGGGGGAGCCCCGCCGGGCCGCUAAACCAGGCUGGCUGGCGCCAAGACUCUGGGAGGCGCGGGUCCAGCAGAGAAGCCGGGUAGGAAGCAGCUCUGUCGCGGGCGUGUCCCCCCCCCACGUCGAGACGCGCCCAGUGGCACCCACAGCUGGUCACCCACACAGGGCCACUCGAGUCACCGAGCUCAGCCUUGGCACGUGCAUUGCCGCCGGAAGCUCAGGGCCAGGCUCAGGCCGGCGCCGGGUCACUCGCAGGCACGUCCGUCCCCUCGGCCACACGCGCUGAGCGCACCCGCCAGCCACGCCACGCGGGCUCACGCAAACCCACACCCGUCACACAGCGGGGACACCAGCGGGGACGCUGCCGCUCUGAGGAUCAACCCUGUGGAGGGCCCAGCAGUGUCCCUGGCCCCUGCAAGAGGUUACAGAGCCGAA